rnacentral:rRNA from 1 species
UACGUAGGGCGCAAGCGUUGUCCGGAAUUAUUGGGCGUAAAGAGCUCGUAGGCGGCUUGUCACGUCGGAUGUGAAAGCCCGAGGCUUAACCUCGGGUCUGCAUUCGAUACGGGCUAGCUAGAGUGUGGUAGGGGAGAUCGGAAUUCCUGGUGUAGCGGUGAAAUGCGUAGAUAUCUACAGGAACGCCGAUGGUGAAGACGGGCGGCUGGGCCAGUUCUGACGCUGAGGCACGAAAGCGUGGGGAUCAAACAGG